AUGAAAACAUUGCUAACAAGUGCGGGUUGGGGUGGCAUCCGUCUUUAUAUAAGCGUCCACGUAGAACACGACUUGGAUUUCUCAAAACUAGUAGGACUAAUGUUAAGAGUACAAGCAAAAUAUCAACCCAUAAUAAAGAUAAAAAUCUAGAAAUUAAAUCCUAGAACAAGGUACAAAAAGAUACACAAUUUUAACCUCAUUUUGCAGCAUAUUCCCCUCGCCAAUAACCUCGCUUCGGCUUCCGAACGCUAAGAAAACGAUCCAACGUGACCAACGCAUCUUCGAACUUGCGAAUCUUAAGAAACCCCAUGAUCAUACUCACUUCAUUUUCCGGAAAUUUCGCAGCUUUCAUAAUCUGAUCCACUAUCUUAACCAAAUAAUCUACACGCAACAUCGAUUCGUCCCGCUUUACAUAACCCUUGAAUUAACGUUCCGUAAGUGACUAUAUCGGGCUCGCAUCCGUUUGUAACCAUAACUUGAACGAUAUCCGUUGCUUUUUUAAUAUCGCCCGCUUUACAAAAGUGAGAAAGAAGGGAAUUGUAAGUGAAUUUAUCGGGUUUUAAUCCUUCGAU
rnacentral:lncRNA from 1 species